rnacentral:rRNA from 1 species
AUUGAACGCUGGCGGCAUGCCUUACACAUGCAAGUCGAACGAGGGUAGCGAUACCUUAGUGGCGAACGGGUGAGUAAUAUAUCGGAACGUACCCUAGAGUGGGGGACAACCAGUCGAAAGACUGGCUAAUACCGCAUACGAUCUCUGGAUGAAAGUGGGGGACCGCAAGGCCUCACGCUCCUGGAGCGGCCGAUAUCUGAUUAGCUAGUUGGUAGGGUAAAAGCCUACCAAGGCAUCGAUCAGUAGCUGGUCUGAGAGGACGAUCAGCCACACUGGGACUGAGACACGGCCCAGACUCCUACGGGAGGCAGCAGUGGGGAAUUUUGGACAAUGGGGGAAACCCUGAUCCAGCAAUGCCGCGUGAGUGAAGAAGGCCUUCGGGUUGUAAGCUCUUUUGUCAGGGAAGAAAAGGCUAUGGCUAAUAUCCAUGGCUGAUGACGGUACCUGAAGAAUAAGCACCGGCUAACUACGUGCCAGCAGCCGCCGUAA